rnacentral:rRNA from 1 species
UGGGGAAUUUUGGACAAUGGGCGAAAGCCUGAUCCAGCAAUGCCGCGUGUGUGAAGAAGGCCUUCGGGUUGUAAAGCACUUUUGUCCGGAAAGAAAUCCUUGGCUCUAAUACAGUCGGGGGAUGACGGUACCGGAAGAAUAAGCACCGGCUAACUACGUGCCAGCAGCCGCGGUAAUACGUAGGGUGCAAGCGUUAAUCGGAAUUACUGGGCGUAAAGCGUGCGCAGGCGGUUUGCUAAGACCGAUGUGAAAUCCCCGGGCUCAACCUGGGAACUGCAUUGGUGACUGGCAGGCUAGAGUAUGGCAGAGGGGGGUAGAAUUCCACGUGUAGCAGUGAAAUGCGUAGAGAUGUGGAGGAAUACCGAUGGCGAAGGCAGCCCCCUGGGCCAAUACUGACGCUCAUGCACGAAAGCGUGGGGAGCAAACAGGAUUAGAUACCCUGGUAGUCCACGCCCUAAACGAUGUCAACUAGUUGUUGGGGAUUCAUUUCCUUAGUAACGUAGCUAACGCGUGAAGUUGACCGCCUGGGGAGUACGGUCGCAAGAUUAAAACUCAGAGGAAUUGACGGGAUCAUAGCUGUUUCCU